rnacentral:tRNA from 1 species
GCCCCGGUAGCUCAGCUGGAUAGAGCAGCGGACUUCUAAUCCGCAGGUCGCAGGUUCGAGUCCUGCCCGGGGCG